CCUACGGGAGGCAGCAGUGGGGAAUAUUGCACAAUGGGGGAAACCCUGAUGCAGCGACGCCGCGUGAAGGAUGAAGUAUUUCGGUAUGUAAACCUCUAUCAGCAGGGAAGAAAAUGACGGUACCUGACUAAGAAGCCCCGGCUAACUACGUGCCAGCAGCCGCGGUAAUACGUAGGGGGCAAGCGUUAUCCGGAUUUACUGGGUGUAAAGGGAGCGUAGACGGGAUGGCAAGUCUGAAGGGAAAACCCGGGGCUCAACCCCGGGACUGCAUUGGAAACUGUCGGGCUGGAGUGUCGGAGAGGUAAGCGGAAUUCCUGGUGUAGCGGUGAAAUGCGUAGAUAUUAGGAAGAACACCAGUGGCGAAGGCGGCUUACUGGACUAUAACUGACGUUGAGGCUCGAAAGCGUGGGGAGCAAACAGGAUUAGAUACCCCGGUAGUC
rnacentral:rRNA from 1 species